GGAGCCAUUUUAUGGCUUGUUUUUGCACUAACUCAAACUAUUUUCCAUGAUUUUCCAGAGUUUUCGAGACAUUUCAUCCAUUUGGGGACAUUCCUGGGCACAUGGGGGACCCGUGCAGCACACCACAGGACUGGACAAGCUGUUACAGCAUGUAAGAUAAUAAACAGAAGGCCAAGGAUAGCAUUUAAUUACAAAUAAUUUAACACUGAUGAGCUGAAGGAAGCUAUUAAGUGAAUUACAUUCUCCAGCCUCAAAUGUAAAUGCAGAGGGAUUGUUUUCAUGUUCCAAGAACGUAUUUUUCUAAGUGAUGACAUUUAAUGGAAGGAGCAUCUAGAAAUGGCAGUUUCAUGGCAGAAAUGCAAUCUGCAUAAUGGCUUAUACAGAUUUUUCCUACAAUCAUACACAGCACCCACAUAGAAACAAAUAUCCUGUGCAUGCGAAGUGGCCCCAGUAGCAAGUACCAGCAGAAGUCAUGAACAUAGCAAGGACAAUGGGUGCAGUCCCUAUCUAAAAGAGACAGUCAACCCACAACAGAUUGCAGAAAUCACUACUCAAGAUAAUCAGGGAGCAGGUAACUGAAGCAAGGUCUCCAAAUUCCAGGAAUGAGUGUAGUUGGCGUACCAGGACCUUUUCCAAAUGGCAAUUGAAUGCAGCUUCUCUAACUCGGCAGGAGUUCAUACAAGGGAACCAUUUACAGUGAUGUCAGGACAGCAGCAGAAGGUACCGUUCAUACAGCUGAUGGCAUUAUUCAGGUUUGUUCCUGAUGUUUUGCAGCUACUGUGCAUUAUACACAUCCUAAAAAGGUAGCACUUUGGUGCAGAGCUCAAAGUGGCUUAACCUUGGGCACUUCCUGCUGCAGUAAAACUGCCCAUCUGAGAAAGCUUCAGUCAAAACUGGGGAAAAUGAAAUCCUGGCCAUGACCAUGGCUACCACCUUGAAAUUCAGAAGCCAUGUUGGAUCUAGGAGAGCUCCCAAACUCUAAACCCAAUCAACCAGACCUCUAACCAUCAUCAUGUCCAUCUGAUCUGGAUAAAACUUAGUUUUUUGUCCCUUUAUGGGGAUCUACAGAGGACUAGUUUUAGGAAUACUGCUCUGGGAUUCUGGUCUUGUUCAGUUGUAUUGAUUCAUUUCUCUAACUUGCCAGCAAUGGAUCUAUUGCUCUCUAGUCGUUCUUUUAGGUGCUGCCCAACUGCUUCGAUACCAGCAUUUCUUCCAGGCCUCCUUUUAGUUAGCCCUUACUUGAGGAAAACACUUCUGCAAGCUCAUUAAUGGAGCAAACAUCUGCAACUGCAUUCAGAAUUCAUUCCAACAGCUAUGAAUAAGUAAUGCUCCUGACUCCAAACAGUUUAACUAAAAUGCUUAUUUGAAUAAAAAGUAGGAAAUGUUUAAAAGUCAUUUAGUAAUUGAGGUUUCGGAGGCUUCAGUAAUGCACAGCAAAAAUAUA